ACAUUUUAAGAACCAAACAGAGCAAAUGGAACAAAACGUUGCGGGGCCUACCUGCAUUUGUCCAAUAUAAACUCUCGUUUUCGUUGCAAAGCAUUCCCAGUUUGGAGGAAAUGGGGUCUGUUGCAAAACGUUUAACAACAGACAAAAGGUUUUGCAACAGAAUCGGCUUAAUGAAUACUCCCAAGUAGAAGGAGUGAGGCGAGUCCACUCGUGUUUCUCUCUCACCCUAGGAGUCGUCUAAAUCUAAACCGGGACGCCCCAUUUCUGUUAAAGCUACUGCCUAAAGCCGAACAUCAAAUCCAGCUUUUAUACACCAAGCUUUGGUCGUGUCGAUGAAACAAUCAAGUGGUGCCUGACUGUGGUGUGUCCCAGAGGAACAUUAGUCCACAUCACCAGGGUCCCCUGACUUGACUUGUGUGUGUUUUUAUAUCUGAUGCUCUUCCAGAAGACAGAGUACCACUGCACCGUGGCUGGGGACUUCUAGGGAAGUUACCCCUACAUUCACUCCACUGUUUGGAAAAGGGUUUCCAGGAGAAUGUUUUGGGGAUGAACUGCUGGAAGAGCAGCACCUUGCUGGACAACCCGUGUGACCCCAGAGAACCAUCUUUACCCCGUCGCCACCUUCGCCCCUCUGUCAGUGCUGCGGAAAGCCUAAAGACUUAGUGUGAGCAGUUGGAGCUCGGG